AUGUUUUUUUUGACAGAAGGAGUCAAACCCAAUUAUGAUCACAUUAUGCACGAGCUAAAUAGCAAGUAUAGUAUAAGUGAAGAUUGCAUGAACAGCGGUAGUUGUAAUAGUAAUAAUAUUGCUUGUAAUAAUCUUUUUUGUAAUAAUAGUGUUUGUAAUAAAAAAAAAGAUAACAAACAUGGUAAUGAGUUAGAUAAUAUAAAUACAAAAAACAAAAAUGAAAUAAUCGAAAUAGACGUGGAGAAAAAGAAUAGCGUGGUAGAAAUUAAGAAACAGAUGAAACAUUGGGCAAAACUAGAAGAAGUAAAACAAACUUUAGAACGAACUUGCUCUAGUGUUAUAGGUGAUAAUUCUAUAUUUUUUGAUUCGAUAUUUAAAAAUUCGAAACCCAAUAACAAAUCUAUAAAUUGUGAAGCCAAAUAUGAAUUUGAAUCACAACAGGUUAACAAUAACAUGUUAGUUAACUUGGAUAUAAUUAAUAAAAAUGAAUUAAAUAAACAGAAUGAUACAUCAAAUUAUUCACUAACAAAUGAAUUGCCUAAAUUAAAAAAUGGUAUAUCUACUGACGAUGAUAUAUCUAUUGUACUAACAGUUAAUAACAACAACUAUGUUUUUGAAAAUGUUUGUUACAACAAUAAAAUUAAUAAAACGAAUGUAUAUAGUCAUGAGUUUAAACAUCGUAAUUGUAACACCAAAAAGUUGAUAAAAAAUGAUAAGGAACCUGCAUAUGUAGUAAACGAAGAGAAGGAAAAACAAUUAGAAUUAGAUAAACAGGAAAAACAGGCACGACGAAAACGACGCGAGCAAGAGCGAUGCGAGCAGAAGCAACGCGAGCAGGAACGACAAGAAAAGGAACGACGAGAGCAGAAGCAACACGAGCAGGAACGACAAGAAAAGGAACGACGAGAGCAGAAGCAACACGAGCAGAAGCAGCUGAAAAAGGAACAAAGAAAACAGUGUAAUCCUGUCCCUGAAAUAAAGGAAAAAAAAGAAAAAAGGGAAAGGUAUAAUGGUACCAAUUUAUUAUUAAAAAGUGAGUAUGAGGAACUUAUAGAGUAUGAUAUCACAGACGAAAACGAAAAAGUAAAAAUAGUAUAUGACUUAACAGGGGAGCGUGAAAAAAACAAAAUCGUAUAUGACUUGACAAACGACAGUGAAGCAAGUGAUAAUAAGGAAAAUGUCCAAGUAGAUAUGUUAUCAAAAAUAAAAAAUCAUAAAAGCGACAAGACAGAAGAUAUAUGUGAUACAAAUAAUAAGUUUAUAUAUAUGAAUACGACUAGUAGCGCAUUUAUAGAUAUAGAAACUAGUGACGAUAUAAAAAAAGGUUGCUAUAGUUGUUCUUGUACAGAAUUGUUACAAAAAUGUAAUUUAUUACUUAGCGAAUUAGAAGCACUAAAAAAAAAAAAAGGAAGAUGUAGAAGUUGUAACCAUAUGUAUGAUAAUAGCAUUGUCAAAAAAAAAAGUUAUAACAAUACAUAUGACUUUAAUAACGUAGACAAAUCAACUUUUAAAUAUAAUAUAUUGAAGGAUGUGAUCAAAAAAGAAAAAGACACUACUAUUCUUGAGGGAAAGAAGUCAAUUUAUGUAAAACCAUGUUAUAUGGAAACAGAAGAUUCAGUUGGAAAAGGUAAAAACAUAAAAGCCACUAUCUCUAGUUUUAUUCAAAGCGAUAAAGACGACUUAAGCGAUAUUACAUGCAAACAAAUAGUGAAAAAACAAAACACGAAAAAGUUAAAAAUGGUUUAUAGUACAAAAAAAGAACAAAUAGAUCCUAUUGAUAUGGCAAAAAAUGUGUCUGAAAAUGUACAUACAAUGGUUAAUAACUCUACACGGGAAGUAAUUAAUAGUGUAGUAAGUAAUAUAAGCAAUAGCAAUAAGAUAAGUAAUAACAGUAACAUCGACCAAUACUCAUGCGUUCGCAAGGUUGUUAUCAUCCCAAGCAGUAGUCAUAUAGAUGGUAAAUCUAGUAUGUCGAUUCUAAAUAUACCUGUAGCAACUAGUGAAAAUAACAAAACAGAUACAACAUCAACUACACAUAAAUCCCAAUUAAACAAUAAAAACAUAAAAAAAAAUAAAAUAAAAAAAGUAAAAUUUCGAUUUGCAUCUGAAAAAGAAAAAAAAAGUAAAAUUAUGAGUUUAAGCAAUUAUAUAUUUAAUAACAAAAAUGAUAACGGUAAUAAGCUUGAAACUAUAAAAAGUUAUAUCGUAAAACAGAAAAAAAAAUAUGAAAAAGAUAAUUUGUAUAAUGUUAUUUUUCAAACUACAAAUAAUUGUAAAAUAGAAAAAAAAAAAAAAAAAAAAAGUAUUUUAAGGGAUGAAAAUGGUAAACAAUUGUAUGAUGUUGAUAGUAAGGUAAUUGUAAAUGAUUAUAAAAAAAAUAAACAGAAUUCGACUUAUGUUAUUAAGAAGGUACAACCGACUUAUGAUAGUGACAGUACGAAUGAUAAUGGAAAAAAUUUAUUUUGCAAAAGAAACACUAUAACGGGAAUGCAAUUGAAAUCGGAUAAAAAAUGUACUCCUGUAAAUAUAGCAAUUAUGACAGGAACAAAAGGCAUAAUUGGAACAGAUAGUGGUAGCGAUAGAAAAGAGUUAAUCGUCAGAAAAAACGCUAACAAAAUCGUGGACAAAAGUAAAAUCGUGGACAAAAGUAAAAUCGUGGAUAAGAGUAAAAUCGUGGAUAAGAGUAAAAUCGUNNNNNNNNNNAGUAAAAUCGUGGAUAAGAGUAAAAUCGUGGAUAAGAGUAAAAUCGUGGAUAAGAGUAAAAUCAUAGGUAAGAGUAAAAUCGUGGAUAAGAGCACCAACGUAAACAAAGACGCAAAUGCAAAUGCAAAUGCAAAUGCAUAUGAAUAUGCAAAAACGUGCACAAAAUCCAAUGGUAACCUAUCUUUUCUAUAUAAACCACGAAACACUAUUAACAUAUCUCAAGAAACUAAAACCAAUAACAUACAGAUUUAUAAAAAAAAGAGUCGAAAAUGUACAGAUAUGAAAACUGUAGAAAAAAAUAACAAUAAUUGUUUGUCAUAUAUUAAUACAAGCACUUUAAAUAACUGCAACAAAGAAAACGAAAUAAAAACAUUAAGAAAAAAUAGAAACACUAAAAAGGUAGUACAUAAUUUAGACGAAUAUUAUAAACAAAACGUGAUUAAAACCCAAAACAAGAUGAACAACCAAGAUAUAAUUUCUUUGGAUAAACAAAUUGUUAAAAAAAGUUUAACAAAAAAGGAAAAAAGCAGUAGUAACAACAUUAGUGAUAGUAGCAAUUGCAAAACAAUUAGGUCAGUUUUUCUCAGCAAAAUUGGACAAAAUAAUUACCUAAAAAAGAAGACAGUAACUAAUAAGCAAUAUUCUAUGAGUAAAAAAAAUGAUGAUGUUGCUAACUCUACAAAUAAAAAAAUUUCUACUGUAAUUGUAGCAACACCAACCAAGACAAAAGUGAAAAAGCAUAAGAUUGUGAGUGAUAAAUUCGUACUAGCCAGUUUUAUUGAAGAAAUGGAUAAACCAUUGGAAAAUACAACAAGAAAAGCUAGGAAAAUAAAAGAACCGACAGAAAUAAAAGAGGAAAGAAAAAUAAAAGAGGAAAGAAAAAUAAAAGAGGAAAGAAAAAUAAAAGAGGAAAGAAAAAUAAAAGAGGAAAGAAAAAUAAAAGAACCGACAAAAAUAACAGAGAUAAAAAAAAUAAAAGAACCGACAAAAAUAACAGAGAUAAAAAAAAUAAAAGAACCGACAAAAAUAACAGAGGUAAAAAAAAUAAAAGAACCGACAAAAAUAACAGAGGUAAAAAAAAUAAAAGAACCGACAAAAAUAAGACAGCCAAGAAAAGACAAAUCAAUAACAACAUAUUGUUACACUACUAAUGCUUCUAACUGUUGUUAUAAAAAGUUAAACAAAAUUCAUUUUGAUGAGGAUAGAACAGGAAAAAUAGCAGUACCAUUCAGUUACAUUACUAUGAAUUAUUUAAACGAAAAUAGAUUACAUGACGGUUGCAAUAAAAUAAUAAAUGAAGGUAUUAAUAAUGAACACAUACAACAACGAAAACCAAAAGAAAGUGAUUACGAAAAAAUUAAUUACAAUAAAAAUGUAGAAAACAUAAAUGUAAGCCAAAAAAAGAAUAAAUUAUGUUUAGAAAAUGAUAGUAAAACAAGUUAUGUGUCAAUAAAUGACUUACAUAGAAAAAGGGAUAAUACAACAUGUAUGGAAAGUAAAAAUACGGACAAAUUGGUACAUAUGAAUACAAGCGAAAAAAUCUUAAAUCAUCCUAAACAGUUGGAAAUACAGAAAAAUAAAUAUGUACACAUUCAUAGUCCAAAGAAAUACAAAGGACACAAUCAAUUAAAAAAUCAAUUUACUACUAAAUCAACUUAUGAAUAUGCAAACCCCAAAACUACAAAUGAUAUUAUUAAUAAUAAUAUUGAUUGUAAUAAUAAAAAGGAUACAUAUAAUUAUGUAUUUUUAAAUAAAAACAAUCAAGUUGAUAAUGUUAAAAGACUAAGUGAAAAAGAAGGUGCUGUAGAGAUGCCGCAAUUAUAUAAUUUUUUCAACAAUUAUUCAUAUAAUAACAUUUUAACUAAUAUAAAUAAUUGUUCUAAGAAUAGUGUGAAUGGACAACACGUUGAGGGCGAGUAUAUAUACAAUGGUAUUCCAAAUACUUAUGCAAAUCGUCAAACUAAAAGAGUAGCUACUAAUGCACUAAUAACAGGAGCAGUUGCAGGAGCAGUGGCAGGAGCAGUGACAGGAGCAAUGACAGGAGCAAUGACAGGAGCAAUGACAGGAGCAGUUACAGGUGCAACUAAACAUGAGACGGAGACCAAAGGUUCGACUAUAAAUAAAACUAACAACAUAACUAAUCAGCACAAUCAACCAAUAAACAGUAUGUUAUAUUUAAACCCUAACAUGUUGAUGUUAAAUAUGCGUAACACUGUUAACGUUAUUGAUACACAAAAUUCCAGAAACAGUAUGUUCGUACCAACUGAAUAUGAAUAUCAUAACAACCCACUUAAUAA
rnacentral:lncRNA from 1 species